AUUGAACGCUGGCGGCAUGCCUUACACAUGCAAGUCGAACGGCAGCACGGGUGCUUGCACCUGGUGGCGAGUGGCGAACGGGUGAGUAAUACAUCGGAACAUGUCCUGUAGUGGGGGAUAGCCCGGCGAAAGCCGGAUUAAUACCGCAUACGAUCUACGGAUGAAAGCGGGGGCCCUUCGGGCCCCGCGCGCUUGGGUUUGCCGAUGGCUGAUUAGCUCGUUGGUGGGGUAAAGGCCUACCAAGGCGACGAUCAGUAGCUGGUCUGAGAGGACGACCAGCCACACUGGGACUGGAACACGGCCCAGACUCCUACGGGAGGCAGCAGUGGGGAAUUUUGGACAAUGGGCGAAAGCCUGAUCCAGCAAUGCCGCGUGUGUGAAGAAGGCCUUCGGGUUGUAAAGCACUUUUGUCCGGAAAGAAAUCCUUGGCCCUAAUACGGUCGGGGGAUGACGGUACCGGAAGAAUAAGCACCGGCUAACUACGUG
rnacentral:rRNA from 1 species